GGAAUAUUGCACAAUGGACGAAAGUCUGAUGCAGCAACGCCGCGUGGAGGAUGACACAUUUCGGUGCGUAAACUCCUUUUAUAGGUCAAGAUAAUGACGGUAGCCUAUGAAUAAGCGCCGGCUAACUCCGUGCCAGCAGCCGCGGUAAUACGGAGGGCGCAAGCGUUACUCGGAAUCACUGGGCGUAAAGAGCGUGUAGGCGGAUUAAUAAGUCAGAAGUGAAAUCCAAUAGCUUAACUAUUGAACUGCUUUUGAAACUGUUGAUCUAGAGUGUGGGAGAGGUAGAUGGAAUUUCUGGUGUAGGGGUAAAAUCCGUAGAUAUCAGAAGGAAUACCGAUUGCGAAGGCGAUCUACUGGAACAUAACUGACGCUGAGACGCGAAAGCGUGGGGAGCAAACAGGAUUAGAUACCCCGGUAGUCC
rnacentral:rRNA from 1 species